UUCCGUAGGUGAACCUGCGAAGGAUCAUUAAUAAUGUCUACGUUUUUUAAGUACGCUUAAUAAUCUACCCUUUGUGAAUUGUUGUUUUGAAAUAAUUUUUUUUUAAAAUUAUUGAUUGUCUUUCCCUGUGAAUUGGUUGUCUAAUGGCAAAUGAUUCGCAGGGGAGUGUCAGUAAUUUUAAAAAACUUUUUAAAAUUAAACUUUUUGUAUUCAUUUGUCUAAAAUUAUUUUUAUAAUAUAAAAACAACUUUUGACAAUGGAUCUCUUGGUUCUCGCAACGAUGAAGAACGCAGCAAAAUGCGAUAAGUAGUGGAGUUGCAGAAUACGUGAAUCAUCGAUCUUCGAACGCAUAUUGCACUUUUAGUUUACUAAAAGUAUUCUGUUUGAGUAUCAGUAAAUAUUCUCAUAAAAACUUUUGUUUUUAUGGUUAUGAGUGUUUUACAACGAUACAAGUUGUUUCACUUAUAAAUUUUUUUAAAAUUUGAAUUUUCUAAUUUUAAAAUAAAAUUGGAUAAAAUUUUCCCGUAAAAAAGGAAUAACCUAAAACAAUUUUAAUUUUUUGAUUAGAAUUCUUCAAUUAUAAAGGAAAAUUUAACUAAUAACUUGAUCUCAAAUCAGAUAAGAGUACCCGCUGAACUUAAGCAUAUCAAUAAGCGGAGGAAAAGAAACUAACAAGGAUUCCUUAGUAACGGCGAGUGAAGCGGGAAGAGCUCAAAUUUGAAAUCUUCAAGUUUUACCUUGACGAAUUGUAGUUUAAAGAAGUGUUUUCUGUUGAAGUUUUGGUAAAAGUUCUUUGGAAUGGACAUCAUAGGGUGGAAAUCCCGUAUUUGACCAUUAUUUUCAGCUGUGUGAUACACUUCAAAGAGUCGGAUUGUUUGGGAAUGCAGUCCAAAUGGGUGUAAUUUCAUCUAAAGCUAAAUAUUGCGAGAGACCGAUAGCGACAAGUACCGUGAGGAAAGAUGAAAAGAACUUUGAAAAGAGUUAAACAGUACGUGAAAUUGUCAAAAGGGAAGCGUUUGACACCGUGUGUUUCUCGAGAAUCAAUUAAAAAAAGUUGGAUUUUGGUGUAUGACCUUAACAGCUUGCUUCACUCUUUUCUUGCUUUUUUAAUGCACUUUUCGUUUAACAAGUCAACAUCAGUUCUUUUGUUGUAAAAGGGUCAUUGGAAGGUGGCUUUCUUUCGGAAAAGUGUUAUAGCCUUUGAUCUCUGCAAUCGGAGAGACUGAGGUCUGCAGCGUAGAUCCUUCGGGUUAGAUACAUUUGUGCUAAGCUACAGCUUUCAUAGACACUUGUUGACUAUGUUUAGUCUUGUAACUUACCGCUUAUCAUUUUACC
rnacentral:misc_RNA from 1 species